rnacentral:rRNA from 1 species
UACGAAGGGGGCUAGCGUUGCUCGGAAUCACUGGGCGUAAAGGGUGCGUAGGCGGGUCUUUAAGUCAGGGGUGAAAUCCUGGAGCUCAACUCCAGAACUGCCUUUGAUACUGAAGAUCUUGAGUUCGGGAGAGGUGAGUGGAACUGCGAGUGUAGAGGUGAAAUUCGUAGAUAUUCGCAAGAACACCAGUGGCGAAGGCGGCUCACUGGCCCGAUACUGACGCUGAGGCACGAAAGCGUGGGAGGCAAACAGGG